GCAUACACUUUUUUGGCCUCGGAAGCCGCAUCUUUCUUCUAUUCUAGAUGUGACUCUUCUUCUAUCAAAUCCUCCGCUUCCUACAUGCUGCUGUAAUUUGCUUCAACGUUGGAAUCAAAUGGCGCUUAUCCUCACGUAUGUCGUAGUUGGUCAGCUUCCUGUGUGGCACUGGGUUUCUCCUUCUGAUGACAAUGUCAGAACUAGUGUUUGUUUAUUAAGCGAUUACUAAUAUUCUUUUCACAUUCAUCUCUUCUGUUGUGCACGUUCAGUCCAGUUCCUUUUUUUUUUUUCUUUUUUUUUUUUUAAUAUUUAAUUUCUGACUUAAGCGGUUCGGGUUUGCGAGAGGGCACAAUUUUACUGCUUCCAUAUCAUUCAACGAGUGAAUAAAAUUUUUCUGGUAUGAAUAAGUACAGUAAUUUACUGUAAUUCAACUUUUUUUUUUCUUCUGUUGAAACGUACAAUAAAAGUACACAAGCUGAGUUUUUUGAACAACUGAACUUGACAGCUAAUAAUCCAUCUUCCUUCAAAACAAACAAAAGAGUACCAUGCUAUUGAAUGUAUUAAACAUUUCACCUAUCUAGCUAAUCCAUAUUGGGUGAAUGGAUAAUGAAUUUAUCAUGUUCAUUAGUCUGCCUGGAAGUUUACUGCUGUCACCUACUUAACGCCCACGCCAGACAUUGUUAGACUUGUCUACACCACACUCGCAGAGCUUACUAACUGCCCUAGGUUAAUCUUAAAAAACAAUGUCUAUACUUCAGUUAGUUCAUACGUCACGAAAGAUGUGAAAGUCGACAGUAUGUCUACGCUAAGCCCUAGAUUCGGAAAGAACAGUUGAAUUUACAGCAUAAUAUUACCCCAUGAACUGAUGCUUCAAAGUCCUGUGCGAUUGUAGUGUUGUGUGUCAUGCUUCAAUGCCUUGCCAUCCAGGACCUGAUGCUUCUUAUAGUCAAGUUCUCUUCUCAUUCAUAUCGUGGCUCUUCCUUUCCCUGCUGGAUACCGUUGAACUCCUUCAAUCGCAGCAAGUCGAAUGAUUUACUUCAGAUUUUCCCAACUAGAUAAUUACUGGAUGCUCUGUCUGCCUGAGCUAGGAAGUUCUUCUUCUUAAGCGGAAGUCAACAUUUGGGAUUCGACUCAGGUGAAGUCAUAAAUGCGAGGAUGCAGUGACAACACUCAACUAACAUCGUGCAAAAUGAGACAAGAAUGGAGACUGUAUUGUGUAAGCUUUUUUCCAAAUGCCCUCUUCAUUCAUGGUAUAAAGAUAGAACAUCCCGAGGAAAAAGCUCAUCCCUCUCUAUUCUAAAGUGGGUAUCAAACUCGAUUUGCUACCAACCAUGAUACAAAUUGACUUUCCAAGCAUUGGAAUAGGCACAACAACUAGUUGCAUGUGAGACGUGAAGAGCCGAAAUAAAGAGGGAUUUCGGCUCUCAAAGCACCCUCAUGCUUCAUAGACUAGUUCCAACAGAUCCAUGUUGCGUUCCAGGUUUGCGUCUUCGCUCCCUGCUACAUCAAGCAAAGGGAGUUGUGUGGACUAGCAACCAUGGGUGCAAUGUUAUAGUAAUGGAAAGAUUGUUAUAAUUAGAUGAUAAACCUUGAUUCUGUACAUCACUCCAAACUUGUUCGUUACACCAGAUCCGAUGAUCUUGCUUUCAUCUGGAAGCAUCGAAUCAAACUCCUUGUUUAUAUUCAGUCCUCGAUGAAAAAGGAACCAUCUUUUGAGUA